rnacentral:rRNA from 1 species
AUUGAACGCUAGCGGGAUGCUUUACACAUGCAAGUCGAACGGAGGGGCGGACGGGUGAGUAAUAUAGGGGACCGUGCCCACUAGCGGGGGUUAACUACUGGAAAGGGUGGCAAAUCCCGCAUAGUAUUGGAGCGGCCGAUAUGGGAUUAGCUAGUUGGUGGGGUAAAGGCUCACCAAGGGCACGAUCCGUAGCUGGUUUGAGAGGAUGACCAGCCACCCGGGGACUUAGACACGGCCCAGACUCCUACGGGAGGCAGCAGUGGGGAAUUUUGGACAAUGGGGGAAACCCUGAUCCAGCCAUCCCGCGUGUAUGAGGAAGGCCUUCGGGUUGUAAAGUACUUUUGGCAGAGAAGCGGUAUCUGCAGAAUAAGCACCGGCUAACUACGUGCCAGCAGCCGCGGUAAUAC